rnacentral:rRNA from 1 species
AUUAGACUUUCUAAUAAACUUUUUUAUUCUGUUUACAAUUAUUAUAUUUUAAAUUAAAUUUAGUUACUGUUAUUGAUAAAAAGAAAAGGACUCCCUUUUGCAUUAUGGGUAAAUAAAAAAUUUUUUAAUUUACACGUCCCGAAAAAGAAGUAUUUAGCCUUAAAAAUAAUAAAAGUUUAAUAUUUUAGAUUAAUUAGGGUUUAAAGUGAUAUGCUUUAUCUUCUUAUAUCUGGUUGUGAAUAUUCUAUUUUAAAUAACAUCUUAGAAGGGUGGUAGUUUUAUAGAGAUAAGUUUAUAAAACUAAUUAUGAAGAAAUAUUUUAGUAAAUAAAAUCAGGAAUAAUAAUUUCUUUAAUUUAACAAUUAAAUUAAAAUUACAUUUUUAAUCUUCUAGUUUUUUUUUCACAUCUUGGGUUAAUUUUUUACUUAAGUAUAUCAUAUUUAUAUUAGUAUAAAAUUAUGUAAAAUAAAUAAAUAAAACUAAUAACAUUUUUAUUUAAAUUAAUAAAAGUAUAAGUACUCGUCCAAAAUUUGUUGAGCUGUUUAACAAAAACAUCGCUUUAAAAAAAGCACACCCUGCUCAAUGAAAAAUUUAAAUAGCCGGGUUUCGCUAAGGUAGCAUAAUAAUUAGCCUUUUAAUUGGAGGUGUGUAUGAAAGGGUAAAUCGAGCAAAUAAAUUUUUACUUAUAAUUAGAAUUUUUUUAAAAGUGAAAAAACUUUUAUGUUCUUUUUAGACGAUAAGACCCUAUGAAGCUAAGAACAACUUUUUAUUAAAAUUUACAUGUGUCAAUUAUUUGGGGAAAAGAAAAAUAAUAUUAUUUUUAUUUUAGUAAAUUUUUGAUCUUAAAAAAAUAUAAAGAAAUAGCUACUCUAGGGAUAACAGCGUUAUAGUUAAAAGAGCCCUUAUCAAAUUAACUUACUGCGACCUCGAUGUUGAAUUAUGGAGUUUUACUGGGGCAGCUUCUAGUAAAAUUAGUCUGUUCGACUACCCAUCCAUACAUGAUUUGAGUUUAGAUCGAUGCGAAUCAGAUUGGUUUCUAUCUAAAAGUUAUUCAUAGAUUUUUAGUACGAAAGGAAUUAAAUUUAUUUU